rnacentral:rRNA from 1 species
GAUCAUGGCUCAGGAUGAACGCUAGCUACAGGCUUAACACAUGCAAGUCGAGGGGAAACGGCAUCGAAAGCUUGCUUUUGAUGGGCGUCGACCGGCGCACGGGUGAGUAACGCGUAUCCAACCUGCCCAUCACUUGGGAAUAACCUUGCGAAAGUAAGACUAAUGCCCAAUGACAUCCCACGAAGGCAUCCGAAUGGGAUUAAAGAUUUAUCGGUGAUGGAUGGGCCCGNGU